AGAUUGAACGCUAGCGGGAUGCUUUACACAUGCAAGUCGAACGGCAGCGCGGACUUCGGUCUGGCGGCGAGUGGCGAACGGGUGAGUAAUAUAUCGGAACGUGCCCAGUAGCGGGGGAUAACUACGCGAAAGCGUGGCUAAUACCGCAUACGCCCUUCGGGGGAAAGCCGGGGAUCGCAAGACCUGGCGCGGAUAGAUGAGCCGAUGUCGGAUUAGCUAGUUGGUGAGGUAAUGGCUCACCAAGGCGACGAUCCGUAGCUGGUCUGAGAGGAUGAUCAGCCACACUGGAACUGAGACACGGUCCAGACUCCUACGGGAGGCAGCAGUGGGGAAUAUGGACAAGUGGGCGCAAGCCUGAUCCAGCCAUACCGCGUGGUGAAGAAGGCUCGGUUGUAAAGCCUUUGUUGGAAAGAAAAGACAAUACGGUUAAUAACCCGGUUGUUCUGUAACGGUAACCCAAAAGAAUAAAGCACCGGACUAACUUCGUAGCCAAGCAGCCGCGGUAAU
rnacentral:rRNA from 1 species